GCGGGAGUAGCUCAGCGGUAGAGCGUCUGCUUGCCAAGUAGAAGGUCGCGGGUUCGAUACCCGUCUCCCGCUCAA
rnacentral:tRNA from 1 species